CCUACGGGUGGCAGCAGUGAGGACUAUUGGUCAAUGGACGAGAGUCUGAACCAGCCAAGUAGCGUGAAGGAUGAAUGCCCUAUGGGUUGUAAACUUCUUUUAUAUGGGAAUAAAAUGUUCCACGUGUGGGAUUUUGUAUGUACCAUAUGAAUAAGGAUCGGCUAACUCCGUGCCAGCAGCCGCGGUAAUACGGAGGAUCCGAGCGUUAUCCGGAUUUAUUGGGUUUAAAGGGAGCGUAGGUGGAUUGUUAAGUCAGUUGUGAAAGUUUGCGGCUCAACCGUAAAAUUCCAGUUGAAACUGGCAGUCUUGAGUACAGUAGAGGUGGGCGGAAUUCGUGGUGUAGCGGUGAAAUGCUUAGAUAUCACGAAGAACUCCGAUUGCGAAGGCAGUUCACUGGACUGCAACUGACACUGAGGCUCGAAAGUGUGGGUAUCAAACAGGAUUAGAUACCCUAGUAGUC
rnacentral:rRNA from 1 species